rnacentral:rRNA from 1 species
UACGGAGGGUGCGAGCGUUGUCCGGAAUCACUGGGCGUAAAGGGCGCGUAGGCGGCCUGAUAAGUAGGGGGUGAAAUCCUGCGGCUUAACCGCAGGGCUGCCUUCUAAACUGUCAGGCUAGAGCACAGUAGAGGCAGGUGGAAUUCCUGGUGUAGCGGUGAAAUGCGCAGAUAUCAGGAAGAACACCCGUGGCGAAAGCGGCUCUCUGGGACGGUACUGACGCUGAGACGCGAAAGCGUGGGGAGCGAACAGG